GGACUGAUCUGACUCCGUAGAAGGUCCAUAAAACAAAGAAUGAGCUGUAGAAUCCAAGUGGAAUUCUGAACCAGAAGUUCUAAGAUGAUUUUGACCAUGGCGUCAGCAGCGGCCUGAGUGCUCAGCUUCCCAGCCAGGCCGCCAUCAGGAAACGCUCAGCACACACGUCAAAUGUUGGCUCUGUUGAGGCUGCUCAGUACCUGGUGCUGGCCCCAGGGCUGGAGGCCAAGCCCUGCACCUCAACCAGAAUGAGGAAGAAAACGUGCGCCAGCCCCCCGUUUUACGCAGCUGCUGGUGCAGCAAGUGCCAACGUGACGGUCGUCAGAAGUGAAGGGGCAGCUGAAGUGGAGUAUUACUUGACCGUAACAAGGAAGGGAGCACUGACGCCUGCACGACACGGAUGAACCUGGAGGACGCGAGACCGAGUCUAAGAAGCCAGUCUCAAAAGGCCACGUGCUAUACGACGCCAUUUAUGUGAAACGCCCAGAACAGGGAAACCUGUAGACAAAGCAGAUCAGCGGUGGCCGGAGGCUGGGGGAAUGGGGCGAUGAUACCCUUCACCGUCAACGUUCUGAAACUCACCGGAGCGAUGCUGGCACCACCCACGAGUACACCAAAACCACUUUAUUGUGUACUUGCCCCAGGUGACUUGUGUGAGUGGGAACCACAUCUCAGUGAAGGCAUUUUUUACAAGUGAAGGGACCCCAGGAAUUCAGAAAACAGAGCCCCGCUGGGUUUCCUCCAGCCUGAGACGACCGUCUGGGUGUCCCCAGCCGGGUCUCGGGUUCAGGAGGGAGAGCUCCAGGCCGUGCACUCGGCAAGAGUCAUUCUGUGCUGAGGAACCCCGACCCGCCUACCGGCCCAGGCUCAGCUUCUGGCGUGUGAUUUCCAGUGGCGAUCCGGACAGACGGGUACAACGUUGCCUGCAGAUGCGCUAUGCCUGUAUUGACACAGAACCGCCAACAUUAAAGCCACAGCUCACUGCCCACGGUGCCACAUCCUGGUGGACCGAUAGAAUGUGAGCUUGCAGGGCAGAGUUAGGAAUUAGGUAGACCGCCAUCUUCCAGACUGGGGAGACAAACCUGUUGCUCAUAGAGACAGGUGCUCCCGGGAACCAUGGGUUCUCAUCACCCCAUGUCACGUUUAGGAGAAAGGUGAAGACACCUCUCAGUUUCAUCAGCGAGUCCUGGAAGGGAAGAUCCAUGGAGCAUGAUUCAGCUGCGGAGACAAGGAGCCAGUCUCAUGAAGAAACAAAAAGAAGGUUCUGGAACUGUCAGGUGGUCAAGGCCUGCCCGGACCUGAACUGCUUCCCUCAAAGCAGGGUCUCUGUCAGCACUGCUCACGUCCACUCUCUCCCUGCUUGACCCCAUCCAGCCCCAGGUCCCAUCGGCCCAUGCCCUACACCUAUCGCCAUCAGACCCGCGUCCACACCUAUCUCAUCUCUGCUUCCAGAACACCCCAAACUAAGGCAGCUUUGUAACAGAGCAGUCCGCAAGUGCUUUCUGUAAAAGGUCGGUGUAAACAUGUCAGGCACUGUGGGCCAGU